AUACGUAGGGUGCGAGCGUUGUCCGGAAUUACUGGGCGUAAAGAGCUCGUAGGUGGUUUGUCGCGUCGUCUGUGAAACUCCGGGGCUUAACUCCGGGCGUGCAGGCGAUACGGGCAUAACUUGAGUACUGUAGGGGAGACUGGAAUUCCUGGUGUAGCGGUGAAAUGCGCAGAUAUCAGGAGGAACACCGGUGGCGAAGGCGGGUCUCUGGGCAGUAACUGACGCUGAGGAGCGAAAGCAUGGGUAGCGAACAGGAUUAGAUACCCUGGUAGUCCAUGCCGUAAACGGUGGGCGCUAGGUGUAGGGGUCUUCCACGACUUCUGUGCCGUAGCUAACGCAUUAAGCGCCCCGCCUGGGGAGUACGGCCGCAAGGCUAAAACUCAAAUGAAUUGACGGGG
rnacentral:rRNA from 1 species